rnacentral:rRNA from 1 species
UACAGAGGUCCCAAGCGUUGUUCGGAUUCACUGGGCGUAAAGGGUGCGCAGGUGGUCGGGUAAGUCUGAUGUGAAAUCCCGCAGCUUAACUGCGGAAUGGCAUUGGAUACUAUUCGGCUAGAGGGUUGGAGGGGGGACUGGAAUUCUCGGUGUAGCAGUGAAAUGCGUAGAUAUCGAGAGGAACACCAGUGGCGAAGGCGACUACCUGGCCUGUUCUUGACGCUGAGGCGCGAAAGCUAGGGGAGCAAACGGG